ACGGUUUGUCUCCCCCGUCCCAUCUUGUUUCAUUUUUUUCCCUCCCUUCCCUCCAUGACCCCCUGUCCUGCCUCUCAAAUUCCUCCUAUCAGAGAGAUCUUAUGAUAAUUGUCUUUCUCUGACUUAUUUCACUCAGCGUAAUACCUUCUAGUUCCAUCCACAUCAUUGCAAAUGGCAAGAUUUUUGUGGGUUUUGACGGCUACAUAGUAUUCCUUAAAGUAAAUGUACAAUUAGUUGUAAAGUAAACACAGGCUUGUUUUGACUUCUGGUAAUUCUAAUCCUUUUAACUGCCCUGAAGAAUAUUUUAAUUUUUACCUUUGUUAUUUAUAAACCACUUUAUGUCCGGGUGACUGUUGCUGUUAAAUCAAGAGAAAACUGAAUAGAAAACGCAGUGAACAGGGGCAGGCCACGUCCAGCGUGGGUGGCACCGAUGGGGGUUCCUGGUAGUGCACUUUCUGGUUCUUUCUUACACUCUGCUUGCUCUUCCUGUUCUUUCUCAUCAUUCUUUUUCUCUUUACUUCCCCCGUCCUUCAAAAACCUGCUGAGUUCAUUAACCUCCUUGCUUAGUUCUACUGGCUGCUUAGCAGCCCUACUUACUGGUACCUAUGGCUUCAGAGAAUGGAAGCCCAUGCCACAUCAUGUAACCUGGUGAACGGCUUGCUCUCAGCCUUGAACUUCGAGUUCUAUGGGUCUACACUGAAAACAUUAAUUAUGUGAUUAAAAUCUGGGAACGAAGUUCAUAUGAUAGCAUCUUUUGUGCUAAUAUCAAGAACUUUACUUAAAUGUUUAAAGUAAUGCUUUCAGAGAAAAGACUGUCAAAUUCUUAACAUGAGAAUUUUCAGAGGACAUACUUUUUUAUUUUGAUUUUUCAUAUUCUGUUAAAGUUUUGCUAGAUCUUAGCCCGAGAGCAUGUUGUGGAGGAUGCUUUGGAACGUAGUGUGCCCCUCACAUGUGAUUCCUAAUGAAUCUGUGUUAGACUUUAUGGUGAAUGGUGUUAGAGUAAACUCCCAGAGUCUAGAGACACAAGUGGAAAGGAGAAGUUAAUUAGCUCCAAUUAAAAAAUAUGUUAACAAUUUAAGUUUUAAACUCCUUAGGAAAUUUCAAACACCAAAAUCUUCAUUGUUGCUGGCAUAAACGUUAAGGAGCAAUUCUUGUGUUAGGCUGCAAAUUGUUGCUUUUGCCAAUGUGUGAAAAGGAGAAGGAAGUGAAGUGUUCUUAUUUUACAUUUUAUAUUCUUUGAAGGGCAAGUAGUAUCUUAGCUAAGAGAAAAGAAUCGUCAUAGUUUAACUCUUAAAAACAAAAUUCUUACCUUGUUACUAAAACAGAACAAGUGGGCCAUUUGUAACGGUGAUGUGGAGUAGGGUGGAGUAAGAACACAGCAGAGAAGGCAGCCUGGCCACUCUACUUGACUGACAAUCAUUAAUUCUGCUCGGGUUACACUCACUGAUUUUUGUUGAUUCUUAGGGGUAAUCUGGAGCUGAGUUUGAGCAUGGUUCCUGGGGCAAAGAUUAACAAGGUGGAGAGCAACAACAGACAGCUCAUGGGCUCACUGUACUUUUAUAAUCGCAGCCCUUUUUAGCAGUUUAUUUAUUGGCAGACACUAAUGCUUUGUUUUAUAAAUACGCUAUAGAGUGAUAGGAGUGAUAGGUUACAGUCUCAGAAAUAAAGGGCCAAAUGCCCAGAGCAAAUGUGAAACCCGAAGACAACAAUCACAAUUCCUAACCUUACGUAAAUGUGGACUUAACCAGAUGACUUUAGAUGACUCCUCUCGAGACAAAGAUCCAUGCAACAAUUCAUUGCCACAUCUUUGAGUCACUCAAAGAAACCCUGAAACUUGGGAUCUAGGUUACUUAGCUUGGCCUUUUAAAAAUUACCAAUUUGUCAAUAAUAAACACUAAUCAUCUUGAUCUCUGUACCUUCAAGGAGCUCUCCCACGGUACUGUUGUCGUGACAUACAAUAUAGGAGGCUACCUCAUGCACAAAAUAGAAGAUUUCAAUUUUUUGUUAGUGUGUUAGAUAUUGGGAAUGAAAUAAAACCUAAAUACUUGACCAUGACAGGCCACCUACCUCAGCUUUCAGAGUCCAACUAAAAGCCCAGCUUAAUCGAGUCGUGCUUAAUCAGAAAGGCGAUAGUAGUGACUCUGAGAUUAAAAGGCAAGGGAGUGCAAGGUAUACAGGGGCCAAACUACCAGUAAAACUUCUUAAGUACUUUGUUCUGAGAAGUGGAUAUAAGAGGAACAAAAAAGGAGUCUUGACGAAUGUGGCCUGUGGGUAAUGGGAAACAGGAAAACUGAAGAAAUUUAUGACCUAGAUAAAAAAAUGAACACUUACUGAAAUGUUUCACCAAUGGCUUUUCAAACUACAGUGGCAGCUUAACAAAGUCUUAUUUUCAUUUGUGUUUUCUUUGGCAUAGAAAUGGGUAAUCGCUGACAACAGAUUACAUGCUUGUGCCUUAACCAUAUAACUUACAUCUUACAUUCCUGCAGGAGGCACCCCUUUCCUAGCGGAACAGGGACCGUGGCAAUGAACUUUUGUCUCAUUGGAGUUUUUAAAAAAAAAUGCUGUCGUUGAGUGUGGCAGUAGUGUAGGAGCUAACCCACAAAUUCCCAGUCUAAUCGAAGAUGUUUCUGGCCUUUCAGUAUGAGUGAUGGAAGAAGAGUAUUUUGGAGUUGAACGUCACUAACCAUGUGUGUGGUAGGAACUAUCAGUAUAAAAUAACUUUCAGAAAUCUAAUGAAAUCUGUGACACAAUUUUGGAGCCCCUGGUACGUGACUUUUAUUCUUUACUAAAUAAUACUUUUUAGUAUCUGUCCAUUUUUAGAAGCGUGCAUUUGUUAAAUAUGUUAAGUGUGGGUAAGCACACAAAGCCUUUUCUGUGAGGAUCUUCCCUAAAUGUAGUCUUCUGUAGUAUACUCUAAUAUACUAGAAGGUUAAUGGGUCACAGUAUCUUUCAUAAUUCAGUCUAUAUUGGAGGAGUACUUCAGGGACUAAGGGCUUCAUGAGUGCUAUUUUCUGAACCCCACGCAAUUAAGCAGACUAUAUAUUUGGUGCCUUUCUUUCCUACCAAAGAAAAAUUAGGUUAAAAUUGGUGCUAAAGGUCAUGUUCGUUUCAAAAUUAUUUUUUCUUAAAAAAAAUAUAUAUAUAUAUGUAUAUAGAUAGAUAGAUAUAUCUCACAACAGGAAAUGUGUAGGUCCAGCAAUAUUAUGCAUGUUAUAAUCUGUAUAUACAGCUAAAGAAAAAAACCUCACCUAAAAAGCAAUUGAAUUCCGAUAUCUACGUAGAGGUAUAUAAUUUUCAUUAACGUGUAAGGCUUUAAAGCACAAAACUGAAAAGAAAAUGAUCACCAAAUGAAAACUUAGUAAUGAAUAUACCCUGAAGGUAAUAACUUGGAGGAAAAAGUCCCAUACAAUGUUAUAUAUCUGUUAUAUCUCCAUUAAAACAUAAAAAUAAAAUAGUUAAAAUAACAUAAAAGUUAAAAACUCCCUUGUCAAUGUUUCUAGCACAAAGUUAGCUACUCAAAGUAGUCUUUAACUCUGAGGGUGUAUAGAAAAUAGUUUUAUAUAUAUUUUAUUGUAUAUAUAUAUAUAUAUUUACAUGUUACAAAAUACCUUUCUAAUGAGCUUGUUAAAGUGGAUACUUUAAGCUAUUUUUCAGGCUAAAAUUAGAGUUAGGGGAGUCAUCAGUCUUAAAACUUGGAUAAUGAGUUACAUAAAACAAAUUCUCACCGAAAGUGUCAUUGUUCAUCUUUCAGAUUUAACAUAAAGACUUAAAUUAGGGCGCCUGGGUGGCUCAGUGGGUUAAACCGCUGCCUUCGGCUCAGGUCAUGAUCUCGGGGUCCUGGGAUCGAGUCCCACGUUGGGCUCUCUGCUCAGUGGGGAGCCUGCUUCCCUCUAUCUCCCUCUCUGCCUGCCUCUCCGUCUGCUUUUGAUCUCUGUCAAAUAAAUAAAUAACAUCUUUAAAAAAAAAAAGACUUAAAUUAGUAAAGAGUACAUGUGGGUCACUGUGAGCAAAUCUCAGACCUAUGAUUUAUUCCACGUUCUUAGUAUCAUGGUUGUAGCCGACAAGAUGACACCCACCUAAAAUACCCCAUGGGUCUCUGAGUCCUAAGGUCUUGUGAGUGGGAUUCUGAUGAAGUGAGUAAAACAGGUUUUUAUUUAAUCCUGCUUUUAUAGACAGCCUUAACUCUAGGAGGAUUUUAUAAAUAUAAAUUAGAAAAUGAUACACUCUAGGAAAUGAGGAAAAUCAUACAUUUAGAACCUACCAGAGCAUACGGGAUUCUCCGUGAACUAAUAAUAACUCCUAACUACUGUUAGCUGGGGUUAUGUGUGGAAGGGAGAAUGGGAGCUUGCUCUGUACACUGUACAGUGAGAUGAAAUAUCCCUUUACUAACAUCUGGAUUGACUUAAUUUAUGUGGUUUGAGAACUGUAAGAUUCCAAAGGCACUGUGCUGUAACGCUUGAUAAAUUUGCGUUUUGUCAGCUUGUUCUCCUACCAGUUUCUUUCAGCCUGGAAAUGGUAGCUACAACAAACAGAACCCUACAGUAUUAAGAGAGAGCGUGGAUAUUUUAAGUAUCUCUUCAUAUAAUGUGACAUUUUUCAUGUCAACUUAUUUGAAUGUUUAUCUGAAAGGCAGUUUCAAAUUAUGUGCAUAUUUUCAAAGUUAGAAAAACAUGCUAUAUCUUAGACAUCAAAAUCAAAUUAUGCCAAGUGCACGCUGUACACCGCGGUGUGGCUCUGCUUCCCUGCCUACACAGGAUGCCAUUUUUGGUACAAUAGUUGCUUAAAUAGAGAUCACGAUGUGAAGUAAUUAUGCAGGGUUUGAUCAGUAUGCAGCGUUUUAGUACUUGCCUUUAAAAAAUGUUUUUUUUUCUUUUCAAAGAGUGUAAUUUAUAAUUGGUUUUUUAUAAUGUGCAAUUUCAUAUAGAUAACCAAAACCUUUUUAAUGGAAAGAGCUUUGUAAUCAUUUGGAGAAUAAAAUCAUUUUACUGUGGAACAAUGUGGUAUUCUCAGUAAAUACAAUUUAAAAAUGUUAGCAAAUUUC